rnacentral:rRNA from 1 species
GAUGAACGCUGGCGGCGUGCCUAAUACAUGCAAGUCGAGCGAAGCGGGGAGGGGUGAGGAACACGUGGAGAACCUCCUUGAAGAAGGGGUUAACUUCGGGAAACCGGUGCUAAACCGGCUACUUAUAUAUGGUUGCGCGGUGCAUUAGCUAGUUGGUAAGGUAACGGCUUACCACGGCAACGAUGCAUAGCCGACCUGAGAGGGUGAUCGGCCACACUGGAACUGAGACACGGUCCAGACUCCUACGGGAGGCAGCAGUAGGGAAUCUUCCGCAAUGGGCGAAAGCCUGACGGAGCAACGCCGCGUGAGUGAUGAAGGUCUUCGGAUCGUAAAACUCUGUUAUUAGGGAAGCGGUACCUAAUCAGAAAGCCACGGCUAACUACGUGCCAGCAGCCGCGGUAAUAC